UUCGGAUAGUAGCUGGUUCCUUCCGAUAGUCCCGCGGGUCCUUCUCAACCGUUCUGCUUGUCCGUCAUCGUCGGCGUGCUCUUCUCCCCUAAUAGGACGUCCCGACCCGUCGGGUGUCGGCCUACGGUCCGGCGCGGCAGACCCCGCCGUCGCCUCGGCGAACGGCGGGAACCCCCGGUAACCCGUCCGACUGCUCGGCGGUACUCGCACGGUAUCGAGCCGCACGACGCGUGCGUCGGGCCCGUCGCAAGCUAGGCCAGUGUCCCACGGAGGUUCGGACUCGGCGCCGUCCCCGUGCCUGGUCGGCUGUUGGCAGACGGUGUCCUCGGACUGGCUCUCACGAACGCGCAAUACCGGUCGGCGACGCUACUGCUUUGGGUACUCUCGGGACCCGUCUUGAAACACGGACCAAGGAGUCUAACAUGUGCGCGAGUCAUUGGGACACAGCGAAGCCUAAAGGCGCAAUGAAAGUGAAGGUCGACCUCGCGUCGACCGAGGGAGGAUGGGUCGCGUCCAAAGCGCGGCCCCGCACUCCCGGGGCGUCUCGUACUCUCGUCUCGUACGCGAUAGAGGCGCACCCAGAGCGUACACGUUGGGACCCGAAAGAUUGAGAACUCAACCCUUCCGAUGAGAG
rnacentral:rRNA from 1 species